AAGAGGACAUGUCUGCUCAAAGAAUUAGAAGGCCAGCCUGACAUAAAUGCAUGUCAGGCUGGCCUUCUAAUUCUUUGAGCAGACAUGUCCUCUUUUU